rnacentral:rRNA from 1 species
AGCGAACGCUGGCGGCAUGCUUAACACAUGCAAGUCGCACGGUCGGGUUUCGGCCCGGCAGUGGCGGACGGGUGAGUAACGCGUAGGUAUCUAUCCUUGGAUGGGGGACAACCGUGGGAAACUACGGCUAAUACCGCAUGACGACCGAGGUCCAAAGGCCGCGAGGCCGUCUGGGGAGGAGCCUGCGUCCGAUUAGCUAGUUGGUGGGUAACGGCCUACCAAGGCGGUGAUCGGUAGCUGGUCNGAGAGGAUGAUCAGCCACACUGGACUGAGACACGGCCAGACUCCUACGGGAGGCAGCAGUGGGAAUAUUGGACAAUGGGCGCAAGCCUGAUCCAGCAAUGCCGCGU